rnacentral:rRNA from 2 species
UGCUAAAUACAUGCAAAGUCGAGCGGAGAUUUGGGAGCUUGCUCCCAAAUCUUAGCGGCGGACGGGUGAGUAACACGUGGGCAACCUGCCCUGCAGACUGGGAUAACUCCGGGAAACCGGAGCUAAUACCGGGUAAUACAUCGCACCGCAUGGUGCAAUGUUGAAAGUUGGCUUUCGAGCUAACACUGCAGGAUGGGCCCGCGGCGCAUUAGCUAGUUGGUAAGGUAAUGGCUUACCAAGGCGACGAUGCGUAGCCGACCUGAGAGGGUGAUCGGCCACACUGGGACUGAGACACGGCCCAGACUCCUACGGGAGGCAGCAGUAGGGAAUCUUCCGCAAUGGACGAAAGUCUGACGGAGCAACGCCGCGUGAGUGACGAAGGCCUUCGGGUCGUAAAGCUCUGUUGUUAGGGAAGAACAAGUACCGUUCGAAUAGGGCGGUACCUUGACGGUACCUAACCAGAAAGCCACGGCUAACUACGUGCCAGCAGCCGCGGUAAUACGUAGGUGGCAAGCGUUGUCCGGAAUUAUUGGGCGUAAAGCGCGCGCAGGCGGUCUUUUAAGUCUGAUGUGAAAGCCCACGGCUCAACCGUGGAGGGUCAUUGGAAACUGGAGGACUUGAGUGCAGAAGAGGAGAGUGGAAUUCCACGUGUAGCGGUGAAAUGCGUAGAUAUGUGGAGGAACACCAGUGGCGAAGGCGGCUCUCUGGUCUGUAACUGACGCUGAGGCGCGAAAGCGUGGGGAGCAAACAGGAUUAGAUACCCUGGUAGUCCACGCCGUAAACGAUGAGUGCUAGGUGUUGGGGGGUUCCACCCUCAGUGCUGAAGUUAACACAUUAAGCACUCCGCCUGGGGAGUACGACCGCAAGGUUGAAACUCAAAGGAAUUGACGGGGGCCCGCACAAGCAGUGGAGCAUGUGGUUUAAUUCGAAGCAACGCGAAGAACCUUACCAGGUCUUGACAUCCUCUGACAUCCUGGAGACAGGACGUUCCCCUUCGGGGGACAGAGUGACAGGUGGUGCAUGGUUGUCGUCAGCUCGUGUCGUGAGAUGUUG